rnacentral:rRNA from 1 species
CACGUAGGCGGAUUGUUAAGUCAGAGGUGAAAUCCCGGAGCUCAACUUCGGAACUGCCUUUGAUACUGGCAAUCUCGAGUCCGGAAGAGGUUAGUGGAAUUCCCAGUGUAGAGGUGAAAUUCGUAGAUAUUGGGAAGAACACCAGUGGCGAAGGCGGCUAACUGGUCCGGUACUGACGCUGAGGUGCGAAAGCGUGGGGAGAAACA